rnacentral:piRNA from 1 species
UGAUAGAUUCUGUCAGCACCUGCUAUGUCC